AUGGUGGAGCUUGACCUUAAUCAGCCGCCCAGAUGGGACGAGUUUGGCGAUUACACGGGCCCUAUCAUUGACCUAAACAAUGAUCUGCAGUGGGCUCACACCUACGAAGUGCAAGAUGUGGAGGUAGGAGAAGGUUCUGGCGAGGGAGGAGGAUCUGACGAUGCUCACAGCAUCCGCCCUGAAGAACACGCUACUGGAGAUGCGCACGUUCGAGGAGAUGGAAUCACGGCAAGCAUGCAUGGCCGAAUCGGCGGCUUCGGUCGCACACUUGGCCUUGCCGGUUGGGGGCAUCUUGGCGUGCAUGCUCACCGUGGCCUCGCCGGAAGUGGUGUGGCCGGACGUGUUGUCCCCGGACAUGUUGUUCCUGCACAUGGUCACCGGAGGCUUGGGCUGACUGGGCGUGGCAUAGGCUCAGUGCUAAAUGUGCAUCAGUUUCAGCCUGGACAGAACAACUCCGAGCAGCACGACGUGAACCAUGCUCACACUGACGACCAGAGCGACGCCGCCGACGAGCAUGGCAACGCCGAUCAGGGGAACAACGAGCAUUCCUAUGAAGGAUACGACGAAGGUGCCGGCGGUACUGGCAACGUCGAGCAGGGCGGCGGAGAACAUGGCAAUUGCUUAGGAGGUGGCGCAGGUCCAAGGGCUUCAGGGCCCUUUUGUGCUAGCCUCCCUUUGUCAGUGACGUUCAUCUUCGUGCCAGCCUCGAGCCCGAUAGUACUCGGCAUCGUGCCAAUACAGUUUGUUUACAGUGCACAUCAGAGGAAACGCAAAUGGUGCACAGACAAUGAAAGGAGGACUAUAUACAGCAUGCUUUUGGAUAGGAGUACUCAUGGCAUAUUGAAGCGCGGUGUUUCACUACAAGUGGCAGCAGCGAUGGGUGUUUCUGAGAGAUGUGUGCAGCGUUAUUGGGAAAAAGGCCAGAUAGGUGGAGGGGUGAAUGUUGUUGUCAGCAAGAGGGCAAAGCACUGUGGCCGCAUGAGAGUUGAAAUCAACCCAGGUGAUAUUUCUGCAAUUCCAUUGAUGAAAAGGACCACCAUGCAUGACCUAGCCAAGGAGCUAAAUGUUGCAAAGAGCCCCUUACACAGGAGGUUUAAGGAAGGCAAAUUCAAGCGCCACACUAAUGAUAUCAAGCCUACAUUGACUGAUGAAAACAUGAGAGGGCGUGUUCGGUACUGUCUCUCCAUGAUACAUCCACCUAGCCUACCUCACCAGCCCACCUUCAAGGAUAUGUACAAUAUGGUGCACAUUGACGAAAAGUGGUUCUACAUGAUUAGAAGAUGUCAGAAAUAUUACUUGGCCCUUGAUGAGGACAAGCCUCAAAGGGGCAUAAGGAACAAAGGAUUUAUUCCAAAGGUGAUGUUCCUUGUAGCAAUUGCGAGGCCUAGGUUCGAUGCACUUGGGACAUGCACAUUUGACGGGAAGAUUGGAAUAUUUCCAUUUGUGACUAGAGAGCCUGCCAAGAGGUCAAGUAAGUACAGAGGUGCUGGCACCAUGAUCACAAAGGCAAUGACAUCUGUUACAAAGAACGAUAGCCGCGAGUUUCUUGUUAACAAGGUCUUGCCUGCCAUAAAACAGAAAUGGCCGGUUGAGGAAUUUGGGGAGCCUAUUUUCAUCCAGCAAGACAAUGCCAAAACCCAUAUUGAUGUCAACGAUCCUGUGUUUAAAGAAGUGGCAACUGCAGAUGGGUUUGACGACAUAAGACUGAUGUGCCAGCCACCCAAUUUUCCUGAUCUAAAUGCUUUGGAUCUUGGUCUUUUUUCAGGUAUUAAAUCCAUGUUCUACAAUUCAACUACGAAAACCAAACACAAACUUAUUGCCGAAGAUAUUAUCCGCAUGUUCGACGUCCACAGCAUGUUGUUUGCUCAACUCAUUUUCUGCUUCAACCUGCACAUCUUCAAGGGAAUCCGGUACCUGAGUAGCAUAUGUGUCAGGCACGUACAUCCAUACCUUCAUGCCCUCGGAUUCGGGGAUGCUGUACACAUAGCUCAUAUGCACUUCUUCAUCUUCGGUGAUUAUAUCAUUGGUUCCUUCAAUGGUGAUGUCCUGCUCAUCGACACAUUGGUCGUUGUUGUCGUCCUCCCAGAUCAUGGCGUCCUCGGCCAGCUUGUUCCAGCGCAAACCAUGCACUUCGGAGAUGUCAUCGUUGGAGACCGUGCGGCCAUCACCCAGUCCGUCUACGUACCUGCCGCCAAGACCAUCCUCCUGUCCUUUAUGUUUUCUUCCUUCAUCACCAUGGCCGCUGCGGACACCGUCAUCUGGCCGUGGUCGUCGCAGCUUGGAGCUGGCCGCGUCCUGGUUGCCGGUUCCCAUCGUACUGGGAUGACACCGCACGGGACUGGCCUUGCCGGCGGCAAUGACAUCGUCGGUGGCAAGAUGGGCAGCCACUACGUCAUCGUUGGGACCCUCGUCGCCAACACCUACGCCAUGCAGGGGGCUGGCCAUGGAUUGAUUUCUGUACGAGCUGGGAAAGAUGGGAAGGGAAAAUGGUGUGCUGGCCCUUCUUCACAAAGGAGAAAAUUGCGCGGGAGAGAAAGGGAGGUGGCCGCCGCACAUCGAGCAAGCCGCACCGGGCAGAUCGGAUCUGUCCGGAGGGCAAACCACACAUGGCGCCGACCCAACCACCAGGCCCUCCAUACCGCCACCGCCGAUCCGAGGACAGAUGGUCCGCCGCUGCAGAUCCGGCCACCACCGCCGAACGCAGCCAAGGCCGCUGCCCGACGCAGGGCCGACCGCCGCAACCGCCACCACCACCGCCCUAGGACGAGGCCGCCGCCGCGCUGCCGCCGGUCAAGGCAGGCCCGCCACGCCACGGAGGCCAGAUCGGCCGUGCCACCUCACGCCGCGGAGCUCCGCACCGUCCCCAUGGCGCGGGAGAGAGGAAAGGCCCCCGCCACCACCGUCAGCCCCCGGGCAAAAGGCCGGCGGCGUCCUUCGGCGGCGGCGGAGGGAGGGAUGGAAGGAGGGGGAGCCCCGGCGGCUAGGCCGAGAUCUCCACCCCCAGAUGUGUGUCUGGACGAGGUGGGACAAAACGGCAGCGCAUCUAUUGCUUCCCUCCGGCAAACAGUGCGCAAAAUAGAUGAGGCGGUGAAGUUGGAUAACCAUGUUGCUAGUCAGGCAACAACAUUCGAUCUUGGUUUCGACAUCCUUUUGACCAAGUUUAGCUCGUUAUGCCAGGGCAUCACUUUGAGCUUGGUUUUGAAGAUUUUGAUUAUUGCGAUGAUGCACUGGUUUGUGAACUACUUCUUCUCCCAAGGAAACAACUUUAUGGGUAUCGAUCGUAAUAGGCAGAGGGUGCGGUAUAUAGGAAAGGAGUGGAUCCAGAGUAUGCAGAUUCUCCAUUUAUACAUGGCACGUGCUCAAGGAUUUGAUAUAUUCUCCAAGCUCAGUAUCAACUCUUGGGGUGGAGAGCUAUUGACUUACCAUACCUUGUGCCACUUAUACUUGAUAGGUGGGAGCUUCGAAACAACAGAAAUACAUGACGUGUUUGAUAGGCUGCAUCCAGCCCAACCAGACCCUGGUAAUGCAAAUUUGGCAUGUUUGAUUGUCUCGGCUGCAUUGGGUUUAUGA
rnacentral:rRNA from 1 species